UACGUAGGGUCCGAGCGUUGUCCGGAAUUAUUGGGCGUAAAGGGCGCGUAGGCGGCCCGCUAAGUCGAACGUGAAAUCCCCGAGCUCAACUCGGGAACUGCGUCCGAUACUGGUGGGCUUGAAUCCGGGAGAGGGAUGCGGAAUUCCAGGUGUAGCGGUGAAAUGCGUAGAUAUCUGGAGGAACACCGGUGGCGAAGGCGGCAUCCUGGACCGGCAUUGACGCUGAGGCGCGAAAGCCAGGGGAGCAAAGCGGG
rnacentral:rRNA from 1 species